rnacentral:rRNA from 1 species
AGCGAACGCUAGCGGCGUGGAUUAGGCAUGCAAGUCGAGCGCGAACGAACCUUCGGGUUCUAGUAGAGCGGCACAAGGGUGAGUAACGCGUGGACAAUCUACCCCCGACCACUGGAACAACAGCGGGAAACCGCUGCUAAUGCCGGAUGGUCAUGACCUUGGGCAUCCUAGGUCACGUAAAGGUGGGGCCUUCGGGCCUGCCGGUCGGGGAGGAGUUCACGUCCUAUCAGCUUGUUGGUGAGGUAAUGGCUCACCAAGGCUACGACGGGUAGGCGGGCUGAGAGGCCGACCGCCCACACUGGGACUGAGACACUGCCCAG